rnacentral:rRNA from 1 species
CCUACGUGCGGCAGCAGUGGGGAAUAUUGCGCAAUGGGCGAAAGCCUGACGCAGCGACGCCGCGUGAGGGAUGAAGGUCUUCGGAUCGUAAACCUCUGUCAGCAGGGAAGAACGGUCACUGUGCUAAUCAGCAGUGAAUUGACGGUACCUGCAAAGGAAGCACCGGCUAACUCCGUGCCAGCAGCCGCGGUAAUACGGAGGGUGCGAGCGUUAAUCGGAAUUACUGGGCGUAAAGCGCUCGUAGGCGGUAUGUCAAGUCAAGGGUGAAAUCCCCGCGCUCAACGUGGGAACUGCCUUUGAAACUGGCAAACUGGAGUGUGUGAGAGGAUAGUGGAAUGCCAGGUGUAGGAGUGAAAUCCGUAGAUAUCUGGAGGAACAUCAGUGGCGAAGGCGACUAUCUGGCACAUAACUGACGCUGAGGAGCGAAAGCGUGGGUAGCAAACAGGAUUAGAUACCCCGGUAGUC